CACAUGCAGUCGAACGGUAACAGCUCUUCGGAGGCUGACGAGUGGCGAACGGGUGAGUAAUACAUCGGAACGUGCCCGAUCGUGGGGGAUAACGGAGCGAAAGCUUUGCUAAUACCGCAUACGAUCUACGGAUGAAAGCAGGGGACCUUCGGGCCUUGCGCGAACGGAGCGGCCGAUGGCAGAUUAGGUAGUUGGUGGGAUAAAAGCUUACCAAGCCGACGAUCUGUAGCUGGUCUGAGAGGACGACCAGCCACACUGGGACUGAGACACGGCCCAGACUCCUACGGGAGGCAGCAGUGGGGAAUUUUGGACAAUGGGCGAAAGCCUGAUCCAGCAAUGCCGCGUGCAGGAUGAAGGCCUUCGGGUUGUAAACUGCUUUUGUACGGAACGAAAAGUCUCGGGAUAAUACCCUGGGACCAUGACGGUACCGUAAGAAUAAGCACCGGCUAACUACGUGCCAGCAGCCGCGUAAUACGUAGGGUGCAAGCGUUAAUCGGAAUUACUGGGCGUAAAGCGUGCGCAGGCGGUUAUAUAAGACAGAUGUGAAUCCCCGGGCUCAACCUGGGACUGCAUUUGUGACUGUAUAGCUAGAGUACGGU
rnacentral:rRNA from 1 species